rnacentral:rRNA from 1 species
UAGAUUAGCCAUGCAUGUCUAAGUAUAAGCAAUUAUACAGCGAAACUGCGAAUGGCUCAUUAAAUCAGUUAUCGUUUAUUUGAUAGUACCUUACUACAUGGAUAACCGUGGUAAUUCUAGAGCUAAUACAUGCUGAAAACCCCGACUUCGGAAGGGGUGUAUUUAUUAGAUUAAAAACCAAUGCCCUUCGGGGCUCACUGGUGAUUCAUGAUAACUUCUCGAAUCGCACGGCCUUGCGCCGGCGAUGGUUCAUUCAAAUUUCUGCCCUAUCAACUUUCGACGGCUGGGUCUUGGCCAGCCGUGGUGACAACGGGUAACGGAGGGUUAGGGCUCGACCCCGGAGAAAACGCCUGAGAAACGGCGUUUACAUCCAAGGAAGGCAGCAGGCGCGCAAAUUACCCAAUGCCGACACGGCGAGGUAGUGACGAGAAAUACUGAUACAGGGCUCUUUUGGGUCUUGUAAUUGGAAUGAGUACAAUUUAAAUCUCUUAACGAGGAACAAUUGGAGGGCAAGUCUGGUGAACGUUCCAGUUCCGAUGCUGGUGCCAGAGAUAGCGGUUAAAUAGCCCACGCUAGUCGAGCAUCCGCCAUCAGCGGGAGGAUGCCGGCGAGACAACCUGGAUCGGGGGACGCUAAGGUGCCGAAGGGCGCUAUGCCAAUCCCGAGCGGAGUCCACUGACGGACCCGUGUAGAGCGCGCAAAGGUGUCGGUCCGGCUCGGUCGAGCUGGGCUUANNNACGUGCCGAUCCCCCGCGAAAGCGGGGCCGCGUCCAAGAGUGCCCGCUGCACGAAUGGACGU